rnacentral:snRNA from 1 species
GGAUCCCUCGCGGGUGCAC